AUACGUAGGUGGCGAGCGUUGUCCGGAAUUAUUGGGCGUAAAGAGCGCGUAGGCGGAUACUUAAGUCUGUCGUAAAAAUGCGGGGCUCAACCCCGUAGUGUCGAUGGAAACUGGGUAUCUUGAGAGCAGGAGAGGAAAGUAGAAUUCCCAGUGUAGCGGCGAAAUGCGUAGAUAUUGGGAGGAAUACCAGUGGCGAAGGCGGCUUUCUGGACUGUUUCUGACGCUGAGGCGCGAAAGCCAGGGGAGCGAACGGGAUUAGAUACCCCGGUAGUCCUGGCCGUAAACGAUGGGUACUAGGUGUAGGAGGUAUCGACCCCUUCUGUGCCGGAGUUAACGCAAUAAGUACCCCGCCUGGGGAGUACGGCCGCAAGGUUGAA
rnacentral:rRNA from 1 species